rnacentral:tRNA from 1 species
GCGGGUGUAGCUCAUUUGGUUAGAGCGCCAGGUUGUGGCUCUGGAGGUAGCCGGUUCAAUCCCGGUCAUCCGCC